AAAAGAGCGAGGAUGUGGCCGUGAGCUACUAAUAACCAACCCGCAAGUGACUGCCCAAAUUUGGAAACGUUCAAACACUGUAGGGCACACACACACACACACACACACACACACACACACACACACACUGAUAAGAAAGAACGAAGUCAGGAAAGGAAGUGUACGUUCUUGCCGUGCCGUUCAGCGGAUAAGAUAAAGAGCUGUGGCGUGCGAUAACGGAGGGAGGAAGGUGGAGGCAGGCUGGAGGGGAGGAGGGGCGGGGAAGGUACUAAUGAAUGGGGGAGUGGAGCAGUGGGAGGUAUGAGAGGGAGGUGAGGAGGGAGACCUAACUGGUGGCGGGAGGGUGGAAGAGGGAGAGGGUGGGAGAGUAAGAGAGAGAGAGAGAGGGUGUGCGAGGUGAGGGUGAAGGGAGGAGCAGCGGCAGAGUCGGUGUUGGAGGGAUGGGCGUCGCACGGACAUCGGCGUGGUGGCGGGAGUGGAGGGGCGGGGCGGGCUGGGGCGGGGCGGGGCGACGCAAGGUGAGGUGAAGUCUACGUAGCAGGACUUCCACAGGCAGACACACACCUACACGCCACUCCUCAUAACAUCCUAUUGGAGAUGGCACUCUGUAUUCAUGUGUAUGAGGCAAGAGAGACAAAAGAAGGUAACACCUGGUGCUAAGUUAUUACAACAAUUUCAAGAUAAAUAAACUCCAGUUACUAAGCCAUUAGGAAUACUGCAGUAACAUGACAGCGUGCUGGUACCCAUGGAAUUCCCUGCUCUUCAUCCUGGCUAAUCAACCAAAUGUACCAACUCCAACACGAGUAUGUCACUAUCUGUUAAUUCCCUCUCGCUGCCGUACCUCACUGUAUCCCUGCACCUCAGCCCCUGCUGCAGGACUUCACUCAGUCACUCUCAUCCCUGCACCUCCCACCUAGGAAUCGGAUUAGUACUUCAUUCACCCUGCCUUCCUCAUCCACCUCACCCAUGUCCCUCACCUUUCACACACGUGCCACACUCUGUAGAACAACAAUAAGCCCUCGCCGGUGGAAAACAUAAUUUCUCUACAUCGGACUUGCAAAAUAGACAAAUUCGACACACCUCCUUUGCCGCCAGUUUCACCUUUCCCUGCCCUCCCCACUGUUUCUUCACUGUAUAUUUACCUGUUUAGCUCCCUACACACUAAAAUAACGUCAGAGUUCCUUGCAUAUGGCUGUUGUGUCACCAGACAUGCACACUGUCACUAUUGUGAGUUAUUUUCACACGCGCCUCCGAGCUUCCAUGUUGGAUGUGUCCCGGAUGUCCAUAACAACCUUCCAAUAACGAAAGCUCUAUCUCUGUUUUCACGCAAAUAUACAACAACUUACCGUAAAAUUCGUCUAUUAUCAAUCAUAUUAUAAGCAUCUAAGCAUUAAAUAGUUAGUUUUUAGUUCCGCUAAGGACGUUUUUAGAAUAUAGUUUUGCUUUAAGAUUAUUAAACUUAGGGAUGUGAGUUCGCUCCUCUCAAAGUAUGGUCAUUGAGAAAUAAGGACGAAAAGAUAUGAUAAAUCUCGCAUUCUUUCGUUCAGUUCUCACGCCCUUGUAUAAGUGAAUCCCAAACUUCCUCGCUGUUCUCAAGGUUGUUUAGAAUUCUUCAGACAAGCUUUGUCAAAACAUUAAUGAAGAUGAGUCACAUUUUCACCAAGUCGCAAUUUUUUUUUAGAUAAUUUAUACUUGUUUAUCUGGAAUUAAAAUAUAGCCUAACCUGCUGGCAGCACACGAUGGGUCACGGGAGGGUUUGCCAAGAGUUCACUUAACAUUCUUGGUGAUGAUGGGCAUCCUAUGCUUUGUUACCGGAUACCCACUUCCGCGUAUACACUCCUGUGGGUCGAUGAUGAAAACUAGCGAGAGCCGGACACUGUCUCAUGUAGGCUUUAUGAUAAUAUUUGAGAAUACCAUCAAUCACAGUUGAUUAAUCAUUCACUAUAUAGAUUCACAGAUGCAGGACACACACACACACACACACAUACACACACGUGUGUGUACAUGAAGAUUUAUUUAUCAUUAUUAUAACCGAUGUUGAAAAAUUAAGCCCUCAAAAGUAGUCUUAAAACCGUUAUAUGUGUAAUAUGAAUGUUGUAUAGGUUCUUUUCAGCUGUUAAAUUUAUCUUUCCUAAAAUUUCCACAAAACUCGAUACCGUAUAUAUACAAAAGACUAUAUUAGACAAACAUAUGUCCUUCGUAAGUAGAAUGAGCGCACAGAUGUCCCUAGACAAGGCAAUCGCCGUCAGAAGAAAGUUUCACCAUGACCUCAGAGGUCGUGAAUUUCCAGUCUCCCGCCUCGUUAUUUCAUCGCCACAUACGGUGUUUCUGGUUACCUGGAACCAAGGAUUCUAUCCCUAUGUUAUUCGCUUGGAAUUGUAAUACACAUUCCUUUUUUAGUAUGUUUGUUAACGUGAUAUUCCACAAACUCACAUUAUACGGAUAAGUAUAUUUUGCUGUGCUUAUAUAACCAUGGGAAAAAUAUUCUUGUAAAUGUCAGUAAGAUUAGAUAUAUAAAAACACCUAUUUUCAUGAAAAUAACGUGCUAAAUGUGGAAAAUCUACAAAUGAAUAUCAAAACGCAAAGCACUUUUUGAUAGUGGUAAUAUAUAUAUAUAUAUAUAUAUAUAUAUAUAUAUAUAUAUAUAUAUAUAUAUAUAUAUAUAUAUAUAUAUAUAUAUAUAUAUAUAUAUAUAUAUAUAUAUAUAUAUAUAUAUAUAUAUAUAUAACGUACACUCAGCACUUUUCAUCAUAAUGACAAAACUGAUGAUAGGCCUUAAUUACACGUCAAACUUCCGUAUGUGAGGAUGGCAUUGGGGACUGUUCUACCAGUAAGUGACACCGAGAAAGGCGUGUGAACACCAUGCUACCGCCACCUGAGCCCUGCCCUACCCUGCACUCAACAGAAAACCUCGUCAUUACAACUUUCCUUUCGAAUGUCAAUGUACAAACGUUUUUCUUCCCGUGGUGAAUCUUGCAAUUGAUUUCUUACUCUGUAUAUGGAUUUUAUGCGAGUUUUUAUUUCCGGCAACGUGUUGUUGCACUUACCUGAGGCGGAGCAAGUUGGUCGCGUGCCAGGCUAGUGGGUAAUCCAAGAGCUGACGUAAUUAGCACGAAACCUGAUUAUGGACCACCCUGACUUGAAAAUGAACCACAUAUUACCUUACAAAUAUAAUUUCCUUAUCAAUAUCUUGAGGUAUAAAUUCUUUAACUACUCUCUCUCUCUUACACUUGGUCUUUGCAUCACCACACCUCACAUCUUCGUAUGAACCUUUUUUUCCAGCAGGUCUACCUUUCUUCUUUUCCCCUCAUGCUUUUUAAUUUACUCAUAUAGUAUUCACGAUUUUAUUACUUUUAAGCCAAAAAGUAAUUACUCAGCUGUUUUCUGGAUCUUAUAAUCUAUCAAGUUCAUUCCUCCUUAUAGAUUUAGGAUACUCUGAUUUUAUAAGAGUGAAGCACCCUAUUCUCCCCUUUAAUUCUUCAUUGUGCUCGGAGUUUUUUUUUUUUUUUUUUACCUAGAGAAUAAAUCUUAAAACCCCUUUCUCCCCGUCAAGUCACUUCUCCCAUGGAAAAAAAAUAUGGCCACAGAUUCCUGGUAAGUGUACCCUAUCGUCCUGCUGCAGCUUUUUAUUAUAGAGCUUUAUGUCAAAUCUAGUAAUUAACUGAGCCCUUUGUAUAAUUAAAUUGUCUUUUGCAUGUUUAUAUUAAUUUAGAAUGGAUAUUUUCAGUUACUUUGCUUCCAAUCUUGUAUUUCAUCAUUGUUUGAGUUAAUUUCUGGAAAAUAAUAAAAUGCUUUCUUAGAGUUUACUGCUACUCAGUAGUUUUCUCUUUUUAUGCAGUAAUGUAGUAUGUAUGUAUAAAUUAUCUUAAUCCUUUUACCUCUACUGAAUCCAACUGCUGCACUUAUGUAGAUAUACAAGUAGAUGCAGAGCUUUCACCUUUGCAACAGAAACUCUAACUUUAUGAUAAAUUGUAUAAUCAAAUUUUUGUCUUAUAACAACUAUACUUAUUAUUGUAGUCAUGUUGUUGACACAUGGAAUAUGUCUUAUGUGUCCAACAUGGUAUUUAAGACAUUUUUCCUUACUGCACAGUUUUUCCUAAACACAUUUUUUUUUUAAUAAAAUUACAUUUAUUUGUAUUUUGUAAUUUAUGUAAAUAACUUUAUUCUA